rnacentral:rRNA from 1 species
UACGUAGGCAGCGAGCGUUGUUCGGAAUCACUGGGCGUAAAGCGCACGUAGGCGGAUGAUUAAGUCAGGGGUGAAAUGCCAAGGCUCAACCUUGGAACUGCCUUUGAUACUGGCCAUCUGGAGUCCGGGAGAGGUGAGUGGAACUGCGAGUGUAGAGGUGAAAUUCGUAGAUAUUCGCAAGACACCAGUGGCGAAGGCGGCUCACUGGCCCGGUACUGACGCUGAGGCACGAAAGCGUGGGGAGCAAACAGG